AGCAUACCUUUUCUUGAGUCAUGUGAAUGUCUGCAUUGUGUAAUACCCUCCCUCUGUGAAGCCUUCCAGUUACUAACUUUCUGUCUUCUCCCCGCUGGACUCCUGACAAUUCAGUGGUACCUUGUUGUAGUAAAUUAGAGCUAACUAGUGGGAAGUGGCCACUGCUCACACACGUCUCUGCAAGUCUCACACAGGAUCUGGAAGACUGGAAGGAAAAGCUACAAACAAGAAGGAGCUCAGGAGCUGUCUCACUCCAGAACCUUUUCUCUGCAGAAGACUAGAAUGGCCGGUUGUGGCUCAUGUUUCUGGUGCAUCAUCUGGUUGGUGGUUCUGCUGUGCAUUGGCUGGCCCCUCAGCAUCGCCUUAGGUGGUCUCUAUGGCCUCAUCAGCCCCCUCACCACCUGCCUCGGCCUGGACCGACUCUCCGAUCUACUUCUGGAGGGGGCCAAUCUGGGCCGGACCUGUGCCAAUAACAUGAGGCACAGCAAACCUUUGUGUUGAGAUAUGUCCUGAGUGACGAGGACCAGACAACUCAGGGGUCAGAGGCAAGAUUGAUGCUUUUCUACAGAGAAAAGGCUUCAAUUUGAGGAGAACGGUUACAGUCUGAUUUAUUUGGAGACAUCAGUGCAGUGAGAAACUCUAUAGCAACUUAUGUAACAAAAAGGUUCAGAAGGUCUGGAAAAUGGAUUCCUCUCAUUUUGUUAACACGUAAUUAACCGUAGAUUUCAAAUUUGUAUGGGUUCGUCAGAAAGGAAAUAGGCUUUGUGUUCAUGGUCUGUGUUUCCUGUUUAAUUCAUGAUGACACUGCAUGGAGAAGAUAAGCAUGAAAAAGGCAAUUUAACAAUGGAAAUGCUUAGACUUGUAAAUGACUGUAUGGAAACUUAUAAUGCGAUUAAAACUGCUUUGAACUUGC